rnacentral:rRNA from 1 species
UACGAAGGGUGCAAGCGUUAAUCGGAAUUACUGGGCGUAAAGCGCGCGUAGGUGGUUCGUUAAGUUAGGAGUGAAAGCCCCGGGCUCAACCUGGGAAUUGCUUCUAAAACUGGCGAGCUAGAGUAUGGUAGAGGGUGGUGGAAUUUCCUGUGUAGCGGUGAAAUGCGUAGAUAUAGGAAGGAACAUCAGUGGCGAAGGCGACCACCUGGACUGAUACUGACACUGAGGUGCGAAAAGCGUGGGGAGCAAACAGGAUUAGAUACCCGCGUAGU